UGGGAAUUCCUGAACAUUAUGUCUGAAGUCUGAAUAAGUAAAGGAUUAAUAAAUUUGUAAACAUCAACAGAACACUAAAGUGCAUUUCUCUCACUUGCAACGGAGUCAAGUCUUAUUUGAUGAAGAGAAGGAUAAUAAAUCACAGAGGUGUCUAAUUGUAUCCCCAGGAUCCUAGAGUGAAUCAAAUGACUUCAUUAUUCAUUUCAGAAAAUAGACUCUGGAGAGCUCUGGGUGGAUCCAGAGCUCGUGUUCUUGCAGCUCACCUCCAGCCCUGGCAUGGUUUUGUCUGGAUUCAUUUCUGGGGUGGACCAACCUCGCAGGCCCCAAAGUGAGGAUGUGAAGAUUCA